GGGANUCUUCGGAUUCUAGUGGCGGACGGGUGAGUAACGCGUAAGAAUCUAACUUCAGGACGGGGACAACAGUUGGAAACGACUGCUAAUACCCGAUGUGCCGCAAGGUGAAACCUAAUUGGCCUGAAGAAGAGCUUGCGUCUGAUUAGCUAGUUGGUGGGGUAAGAGCCUACCAAGGCGACGAUCAGUAGCUAGUCUGAGAGGAUGAGCAGCCACACUGGGACUGAGACACGGCCCAGACUCCUACGGGAGGCAGCAGCGGGGAAUUUUCCGCAAUGGGCGAAAGCCUGACGGAGCAACGCCGCGUGAGGGAGGAAGGUCUUUGGAUUGUAAACCUCUUUUCUCAAGGAAGAAGUUCUGACGGUACUUGAGGAAUCAGCCUCGGCUAACUCCGUGCCAGCAGCCGCGGUAAUACGGGGGAGGCAAGCGUUAUCCGGAAUUAUUGGGCGUAAAGCGUCCGCAGGUGGUCAGCCAAGUCUGCCGUCAAAUCAGGUUGCUUAACGACCUAAAGGCGGUGGAAACUGGCAGACUAGAGAGCAGUAGGGGUAGCAGGAAUUCCCAGUGUAGCGGUGAAAUGCGUAGAGAUUGGGAAGAACAUCGGUGGCGAAAGCGUGCUACUGGGCUGUAUCUGACACUCAGGGACGAAAGCUAGGGGAGCGAAAGGGAUUAGAUACCCCUGUAGUCCUAGCCGUAAACGAUGGAUACUAGGCGUGGCUUGUAUCGACCCGAGCCGUGCCGAAGCUAACGCGUUAAGUAUCCCGCCUGGGGAGUACGCACGCAAGUGUGAAACUCAAAGGAAUUGACGGGGGCCCGCACAAGCGGUNNNUAUGUGGUUUAAUUCGAUGCAACGCGAAG
rnacentral:rRNA from 1 species